CUUCCCCGCUGGCCUCAGGGGCGCACACUUGUAUACCCACCUAGGUGGGCGCCGCUGUACCCGGGAAUGCGGCCUGGGAGGGUGGAGCCACGCAGGCAGAGUCCUGGAGGAAUCUCCGUACCCGCUCCACUCGACUUCCGACAUUUUACCUUGGCUAAAAGUAUGGAGAGAACUUGGAAAAUCAGAGCUUUGUGGAACCUCCUACCGAUGUGGGCUUUGACCUGCCACGCGGCCGCGCGCCCUUUUUGUAGUCAGAGAGUGUGCCUCGCCCUUGUUUGUGUCGCUGGGGUCUAGCACUUGUGAGGCGUUCCAUUAAUGUUUGUUGGUGGGAGGAAUAAAUGUCUCAGAGGAAGGACAUGCCACGUAUACAGGGGAGAGUGACCCUCGUUCUUCGGUCUCUUCCCAGCUGCUCCCGUGACGUUAGGGAAAAGGCUCGCUUCACGCUCUCACCCGACCCAGUGUGAAGCGCCUCCAGCCACCGGAUACCUUCCCUAGCCCCAGUAAAAAGGUCGGGGAAGGAACGGGAAAGCCAAGGCCUACAAAUAUUUAAGUGACUGUUUAGCGAGAACUAAUAUUCGUUGAGUGCCCACUAUGUGGAACCAAGGACCUUGCAUGUGUUAUGUCAUUUAAUCGUAAAACUUGGCUCUACACUGAAGACAUCUCG
rnacentral:lncRNA from 1 species